rnacentral:rRNA from 1 species
GUACGGCGAGUGAACCGGGAUGAGCUCAAAUUUAAAAUCUGGCGUCUUUCAGGCGUCCGAGUUGUAAUCUAUAGAGGCGUUUUCCGCGCCGGACCGCGUCCAAGUCUCUUGGAAUAGAGUAUCAAAGAGGGUGACAAUCCCGUACUUGACGCGACAACCGGUGCUCUGUGAUACGUUCUCAAUGAGUCGAGUUGUUUGGGAAUGCAGCUCUAAAUGGGUGGUAAAUUCCAUCUAAGGCUAAAUAUUGGCGAGAGACCGAUAGCGAACAAGUACCGUGAGGGAAAGAUGAAAAGCACUUUGGAAAGAGAGUUAAACAGCACGUGAAAUUGUUAAAAGGGAAACGAUUGAAGUCAGUCGUGUGAAAGGUAUUCAGCCGUCUCUGGCGGUGUAUUUGCCUUUCACGGGUCAACAUCAGUUUGAUCCGGUAGAAAAAGGCGGGAGGAAGGUGGCACCCUCGGGUGUGUUAUAGCCUCCUGUCAUAUGUGCCGGACCAGACUGAGGAACGCAGCUUGCCGCAAGGCCGGGGUUCGCCCACGUACAAGCUUAGGAUGUUGACAUAAUGGCUUUAAACGACCCGCUGA